GAUGAAGAACGUAGCGAAAUGCGAUAAGUAAUGUGAAUUGCAGAAUUCAGUGAAUCAUCGAAUCUUUGAACGCACAUUGCGCCCCCUGGUAUUCCGGGGGGCAUGCCUGUCCGAGCGUCAUUACAACCCUCAAGCUCAGCUUGGUGUUGGGCCCCGCCGCCCCGGCGGGCCCUAAAGUCAGUGGCGGUGCCGUCCGGCUCCGAGCGUAGUAAUUCUUCUCGCUCUGGAGGUCCGGUCGUGUGCUCGCCAGCAACCCCCAAUUUUUUUCAGGUUGUCCUCGGAUCAGGUAGGGAUACCCGCUGAACUUAAGCAUAUCAAUAAGCGGAGGA
rnacentral:misc_RNA from 1 species